rnacentral:rRNA from 1 species
AACGAACGCUGGCGGCAGGCCUAACACAUGCAAGUCGAGCGAAGCCUUCGGGCUUAGCGGCGGACGGGUGAGUAACGCGUGGGAACGUGCCCUUUGGUACGGAAUAGCCCCGGGAAACUGGGAGUAAUACCGUAUGUGGUCGAGAGACGAAAGAUUUAUCGCCAAAGGAUCGGCCCGCGUUGGAUUAGGUAGUUGGUGGGGUAAUGGCCUACCAAGCCGACGAUCCAUAGCUGGUUUGAGAGGAUGAUCAGCCACACUGGGACUGAGACACGGACCAGACUCCUACGUGAGGCAGCAGUGGGUAAUCUUAGACAAUGGGGGAAACCCUGAUCUAGCCAUGCCGCGUGAUCGAUGAAGGCCUUAGGGUUGUAAAGAUCUUUCAGUGGGGAAGAUAAUGACUGUACCCACAGAAGAAGCCCCGGCUAACUCCGUGCCAGCCGCCGCGGUAAAAC